AUACGUAGGGGGCGAGCGUUGUCCGGAAUGAUUGGGCGUAAAGGGCGCGUAGGCGGCCCGGUAAGUCUGGAGUGAAAGUCCUGUUUUUAAGAUGGGAAUUGCUUUGGAUACUGUCGGGCUUGAGUGCAGGAGAGGUAAGUGGAAUUCCCAGUGUAGCGGUGAAAUGCGUAGAGAUUGGGAGGAACACCAGUGGCGAAGGCGACUUACUGACUGUAACUGACGCUGAGGCGCGAAAGUGUGGGGAGCAAACAGGAUUAGAUACCCUGGUAGUCCACACUGUAAACGAUGAAUGCUAGGUGUAGGGGGUAUCGACCCCUUCUGUGCCGCAGUCAACACAAUAAGCAUUCCGCCUGGGGAGUGCGGCCGCAAGGUUGAAACUCAAAUGAAUUGACGGGG
rnacentral:rRNA from 1 species